CCAGGCUCCGCAAAUCCGGGGCUGGACUUCCCGGGUCACACGCUGCCGCCGCCUCCAUUGUGAGCCGAGCCCGGGCCGAGCCUGCAGGAGUUCCCAUUUCCAGACCUGACGUGAUCUCCUGGCUGGAGUGAAGGGAGGAGCUGUGGGUCCCCAGUCUCCAGGGAGAGGAGGAAAGAGAGAUACUGAGAGAUGCCCGCAGGGGGCGUGACGUGAACUGGAUUAUCGCUGUGUCUCUGGGACGGUGAGUGAGACCAAGGAGGAGAAUCCUCAGCUGGGAGUCUGGAGUGGGGGAACCACACAGGACAGUUUGGGGAGAUCGUAGGAGACUCAGCCCAGGCCAUGCGGGCACCCGGGAAAAGAG